UACGUAGGUUGCAAGCGUUGUCCGGAUUUACUGGGCGUAAAGGGCGUGCAGGCGGUUUGUUAAGUGCAGGGUGAAAGCUCCCGGCUCAACUGGGAGAGGUCCUUGCAUACUGGCAAACUCGAGGGAGGCAGAGGAAAGUGGAAUUCCCGGUGUAGUGGUGAUAUGCGUAGAUAUCGGGAGGAACACCUGUGGCGAAGGCGGCUUUCUGGGCCUUAACUGACGCUGAGACGCGAAAGCGUGGGGAGCGAACAGG
rnacentral:rRNA from 1 species